GUACUCGCUUCGGCAGUACCAGUGCUAACCCUGGAACAAUACAGAAAAGAUUAGCGUGGCCCCAGCACAAGGAUGACGUGCAAACCUGUGACAUAUUACAUAUUAGA